CUCCAUGUAUCUUUAGACUGACCAGCUAUGGAGUUCUCCCUUCUAAGCCACAGAAGAGCACAUUCUUGCUUGGUGGAAAAGCUGUCACCAUGAAAUUGGCAUUAGAUACACUGACUAGCACAAGGAGCAUCC